AUUGAACGCUGGCGGCAUGCCUUACACAUGCAAGUCGAACGGCAGCGGACCUUCGGGUGCCGGCGAGUGGCGAACGGGUGAGUAAUAUAUCGGAACGUACCUUUCAGUGGGGGAUAACGUAGCGAAAGUUACGCUAAUACCGCAUAUUCUGUGAGCAGGAAAGCAGGGGAUCGCAAGACCUUGCGCUGAUUGAGCGGCCGAUAUCAGAUUAGCUAGUUGGUGAGGUAAAGGCUCACCAAGGCGACGAUCUGUAGCGGGUCUGAGAGGAUGAUCCGCCACACUGGGACUGAGACACGGCCCAGACUCCUACGGGAGGCAGCAGUGGGGAAUAUUGCGCAAUGGGCGAAAGCCUGACGCAGCCACGCCGCGUGAAGGAUGAAUGCCCUCUGGGUUGUAAACUUCUUUUGUAUGGGAAGAAAAUUCCGAACGUGUUCGGAGCUGACGGUACCAUAAGAAUAAGCAUCGGCUAACUCCGUG
rnacentral:rRNA from 1 species